AACCGCCGAGCUACCCAGGCUGCCCAAGGGGACGUGUUUGAUUUGACAUUCCUUUCACUCCUUUGUGCCUUCCUUGGCACAUUUACUCCAUCAGCUAGUAAAUAUUCAUUGAGCACCCUCUAUUGGAAAGUGACCCCGAGGCAGAGGAGAGCAGCUGGAGGCGCUGGACAUGGGGCAGACAGACGAGUGUGAAGGCGGCUGUGCUGCGGGCCUUGGGCACAGGUUUUAAGAAAAGAAUAGAAAUUCAACAAAUAGAGAAGUGGAGAGAGGCAUUCUACGCAGAGGGAAGAGUACGUUCAAAAGCCCUGAGGCCACACACACUCAACACUCUGAGGCACUGAUAAGCCAGUAGAGUUGAGGUUCUGGGAGCCAGAGGAAAAUCAGGAAAAUGAGGCUGGGAGCUUGAUCCCGGUGAGAUGAGGACACUGAGGCUCAGAGAGGCCCUACAGCCACACAGCGAGGACACGAUACUUCAUGACUACGAUUGCCUCAACACAGAAAUACCUCGCCGCACCCUUGCUGCUGCCUCAAGCGGUACCCAGUGUCCUCAUUUUACGGGGUUGCGCAUUGGGAAGCCCAGCGAGGGGAGGGACUUGUCCGGGGUCCCAAAGCUGCAAGAGAUCCUGAAAACCACUUUCUGCUGGUGCUGCCCUCCACUGCUGCUUGCUUCCAGAAACACCCCGCCUCACAGGGCUCAGGGCUCAUUCCCUCCUCUGUGAAUGGGAAGGAACAAUGAGGGGACACAUUUCACCGGCUCACGAGGUAAGGUACGGAAAGCAGUUGGCACAGGGCUUGGCAUUCAACCGUGUGUAAGUAAGCAAUGCUAGGAACUGUGAUUAUUGUUUCUGGUGGUCAUUCCCGCCUCUUCAAAACUCUCCCGGGUGGUCAAGGAUCUCCAUGAUUCUGUACUCUGGGGUCCCCUGCUGUGCCUCCCCUCUGGCUCCCUCCCAGACUCCUUCCCUGGAGCCCUGUACUGCUGCCUGCCUCUCCAACGGUAGGGCUCCUCACUGGCCUGGUGCUUCCUGGGUGACCUCAUGCACUGCUCAGCAACACUUUAUCUAGCAGCAUCCAGAGGCCCAGAUUU